UUCAUCUUCACCAUCUUCAUCUUCACUGCUCUAUACUCGGGGUGUCUCUUGUGGAGCGCGAGCGUCUCAUCGACCGCGUUCUCGGUGAUCGCGACGUUUAUGCUCCUGACGAAGUCGGGGCCGAUGGGCGAGUGGAGGAAGGCGAAGACGGAGGACAUCACAUCAAGAAACGAGUAAAAGGAGCGUCAGGAGACAGUUUCCAACGUCUGCAGCGUGAAACUGGAAGCGUGACAGAAAAAUGUCUGAAGGGACUCAGUAGAAGUAUUUCACAUAUUCUUUACUCACUGUUUGCAUGUACAGCACCCCGAGCUCCGGAGAACGUUUGACAGCAAAACGCCCGUUUGAUGACUGCAAAUGAAAAACCGACGAGAAGCGUCGAACACGAGGGCUGAAGAUUUUAAAACGCUUUGAAAUUCAAAUUGAAGCACUUAACCGUGAAAUCCAAAGCGUUAGCGCGGCGACGCAUCCAUCGAGAUUAAACCUCAAACUGAGGCUUUUAUUCUCUGGUGUGUUAACUUUUCACCAAAAUCAUGUUUGGAUUUUCCCGGAGUAUAAAAGUAUAUAGAAAUCAGACGAUGCUUGCUGUUAAAAUGCUGAAGGAGCUCAUUAACAUGGUGACACAAGUUACUGUAGUUUAGCUAUAAAACAUUUUAAAAGUAUCAAAUAUGAAACAUCUAAAUGUACCUGAUGUCUUUCUGAAAUAAUGUAAAAGUAUAUUCUAUUCUGGAGAACAGAUUCAGGUCCAACAGCAGCGAGCGUCGCUGUGAAGCCCCACUGCUUUUCAAAAUAAGAGCUGUGACUUUUAAAAAACAAAUGCACAAAGCACACACCUGAAGUUCUGGUUGAUCUACGUGGAGGUUGUUACCGCAGGAAGAUAAGGAUUCCGGAGGAAUGAAGAGUUUUAUUCCAAAAUGAAACAAGAACAAAGUAACUGUAAAGAUGCACUAGCUCCGAUUUUAUUGUGAAAAUCUGGCUUCCUGGAUAGAGUUGUGACACACAUUUAUGGUGUCUUUAAAAUGCAUCAUAAGAAGGAGGCGUUUAGUUUGUUGAUGUCACCUGAUCGACAGGUUGGUGGGCGGGGCCAAGGACCGUCAUAAUCCUACCUCAUUUAGAUUAACUAAUACUGAGAGUUAAAACUAAUCACGUGGUGUUCAUCUUCAAUAAACUUGAUGAAUUAAGUCGCGGGAUGAUAACAGUCAGUGAUGUUCCCUUGAGCAGCUUUAGAGUAGCAGGUAAUACAGCUCAUGUAUCUUCUGUAUUUCAUCCAGGCAGAGUUCUGUUCUCUGCAGCACUUUGCAGUAGAACUCUUCAUGUGUUUAGUGCCUUUAUAUCAGCCAGCAGUGCAGACGCACAGGACGUGUUCAGUGUUUGAUUCCUCCUGCAGGGGGCAGCAGACGGGGAGUUUACUGCCUUUGGAGAGGUUUUUUAGAUCUAUAAUAUAUUUGGCUUCUGACACGUUGUUACUGUGAGGACGAAUAUAAAACAGAUUACACUGUUUCAAAAACAAUACUGGUGGAAUAUUUAACAAGAAUAAAAAAUGCAAAGUGUGUGAAGCCACAGGUCCUGGAAAUAUCAGAUUUAUGAGGUUCAUUUUAAAGGAGUGUUUUAACGUCCUUUGAAAGUUGGCAUUGAGAUGGAUAUUAAUGUCUGUGAUGUGGUUAGCUUAGCUUAGCAUGCAGGGAGUGUGUUGGUUAAACUGAUGCUCCUACCACACUCCUCCCUUUUUAAACGUAUUUGUGAAUCGUCCAAAGCAAACGUAAUCCACGACAAAAUUCAGUUUCCUCUGAAAAGCGUAAUUCAUAACGCAGUUUUAAUGUCGGGGCAUUAAAAAACAUACAAACUCUCAACCUCCUGAGUCGGGUCUGCUUCCACGUGAGGGUUGAUGCUUCUUCAGGCAUAGUUCACUCUUAUUUUGAAACGGGGAUUAUAUGAGGAAGCAAUAAUUCUACUAUGAGCUGUGUUUUUAAAUCCUCCACAGUGAGACAAAUCAUUCCUCGUGCUGUAAUAGACGCGUUUAAAAACUAAACGCAUAAAAUGCCUGAUCAAUACAAACGCUUUGUGUUGAUCUGCGAUCGCUCUGAUUCCUGUUGGAGGAAAAGAAGUGUGGCUCAGAAAUGCUAAAGAGAAACAAGUACCGUAUGUCUUUAUAAGGUGUUUGACUCUAUAAAGCUUUAUUCUUUUCAAUCAUGUUCGGGCCUCAAACUAAGCCAGGCCUUUUAGAAACCCUGAAGCAGGAAGAGAUGAGCUGUGCUUUAGUCUCACAAAUCAACUCUUUCUGAGUGUAAAUGUUUUAAAUCUCUGUUUUUGUUUUAUCCAGAUCAAGCAAACAUAAAUUAGUUGUGAUAAUCAUGCCACGUUCAUGUCCUAUAGGAAUCACCGUGAUUACCAGUUUGUGACGUAAAAGACCCGCCGAGUGAAGCCAAAGCUUCAUGUGGUAAAGCUGCAUUCUCUCUAGUGUCCA